GUACGUUUAAUUAGGCUUUGCUCUUAUAGAAAAAUAAAUCUGAAGUAAACUUAAUUAUUAGACUGAAACUGAACGACAACUUGCACUCUCCAGAAAAAAAAAAAAAAAAAAUCCAGCUAAUUAAUAAUAACAAAACUAAACAAGUUAAAUAAAAAUGAGAGGUUAAAAAGUAAUGGAGAAUGUGGUCCUCUUUUAAUUUUGAAAGCCUUGAACCAAAGCUAUGUUCCAUUAUAUAUAGCCCGGCACUUGAUUACAAAUCUCUUCAUUCUUAUAAUCUUAUAUUUGCAAAUUAAAAAUGGAAGGAUUUAACAACAGUGAAGAUGAGCAAUUUAUGGGAAAUUCAUUAUCUUACAUUGAUGUGUAUUGCCAAGCAGACAAUUGCACGUCGGACUUGACUGAUGCGAAGCGCUACCACCGCCGUCACAAGGUCUGUGAGUUCCAUGCCAAGGCUCCGGUGGUCAUUGUUAACUCGAAACACCAGCGAUUCUGUCAGCAAUGUAGCAAGUGCGUAUCCCACAUUCCUCCUUGUUCACACCCAGAAACAUAUACACUUACUUCUACGUCAAGAUAUCUUUAUGCGUGACCAAAUUCAUAGGUACACAUGUAUGCGAAUUAUGUGCUCCUAGGCGACUAGCAACAAUCGAGGAGUCGAUUAAUUCUUCUUUUGUUGCGACAUCAUCUAGGCACAACCAGCUAGGUUCCAUGACACAUCGGAGUUCGACGACACGAAAAGGAGUUGCCGGAAGAGGUUGGCUGGACACAACGAAAGGAGAAGGAAGAACUCCUAUGAUGUUUCUGCGGAAUCAUCGUCUGCAGACUGAGGCCACCACACAAAGAUCCAGCUAGCUAGCGAGGGGGGCUAGCUAGCAGCUAGGUCAUUAGGGAGUGAUUGUGAUUAUUAUAGAUAAAACCAUAGAUUAGGCCUCCAAUCAAUGGUUUUAUCUAUAAUAGUGAUUCAUUAUCAUUCUUUUUAAUGCUCUCUAUCUUCUGUCAAACCCAUUUUCUAUGUCAACUUUGAUUGUCCUACUAAAUAAAUUCCCCUUUUCUUUUUC